rnacentral:rRNA from 1 species
AUUGAACGCUGGCGGAAUGCUUUACACAUGCAAGUCGAACGGUAGAGGGGGCAACCCCUCGAGAGUGGCGAACGGGUGAGUAAUAUAUCGGAACGUGCCCAGUCGUGGGGGAUAACGUAGCGAAAGUUACGCUAAUAACGCAUACGAUCUAAGGAUGAAAGCGGGGGAUUGCAAGCCCGCGCGCGAUUGGAGCGGCCGCUAUCAGAUUAGGUAGUUGGUGGGGUAAAGGCUCACCAAGCCAACGAUCUGUAGCUGGUCUGAGAGGACGACCAGCCACACUUGAACUGAGACACGGUCCAGACCCCUACGGGAGGCAGCAGUGGGGAAUUUUGGACAAUGGACGCAAGUCUGAUCCAGCCAUUCCGCGUGCAGGGUGAAGGCCCUCGGGUUGUAAACUGCUUUUGUACGGAACGAAAAGGUCUCUCUUAAUACGGGGGGCUCAUGACGGUACCGUAAGAAUAAGCACCGGCUAACUACGUGCCAGCCGCCGCCGUAA